UGACAAACCGGAGGAAGGUGGGGAUGACGUCAAAUCAUCAUGCCCCUUAUGACCUGGGCUACACACGUGCUACAAUGGACAGAACAAAGGGCUGCGAGACCGCAAGGUUUAGCCAAUCCCACAAAUCUGUUCUCAGUUCGGAUCGCAGUCUGCAACUCGACUGCGUGAAGCUGGAAUCGCUAGUAAUCGCGGAUCAGCAUGCCGCGGUGAAUACGUUCCCGGGCCUUGUACACACCGCCCGUCACACCACGAGAGUUUGCAACACCCGAAGUCGGUGAGGUAACCUUUAUGGAGCCAGCCGCCGAAGGUGGGGCAGAUGAUUGGGGUGAAGUCGUAACAAGGUAGCCGUAUCGGAAGGUGCGGCUGGAUCACCUCCUUUCUAAGGA
rnacentral:rRNA from 1 species